GGGGUUCGGGGGGUUCGAACGAACCGCCCACUUUGCCAAUGAAGUCCCACCUACAACUCCCGCGAGAUAUAGAACUGCGAGGUGAAGACGACGUUCACUCUGUCCUGGCUUGGAAGGCAACACGGUGGAUUCAAACGCCCUGUCUGCCACAGCUAGCUCCUUGUUGGGACUAGUGCCAUCUGUGAUAUGCAAUCGUCAUCUCGACACCACAGAGAUUGUGAGCAUGUAUGCCGAAGACCUACCCAGUCCAGAACUUGUUGACCAAGAGAUUACAAGGUGGAAGUUGAAGUAUGGCAGAGUGCCUGGGUCACAGAGGCCGAACACCCCUGCAGGUUCCAUUAAAGAGUGUGACCGAGACCUGUACCCCAACCUGCAUGUCCUACUUCAACUGGCCUGCACACUCCCUGUCACCUCCUGCGAGUGUGAGCGCAGUGCCAGUGCCCUUCGUCGACUGAACAGCUACAUGCGGGCAUCAAUGGGGAAGGAGCGUCUCUCAUCACUGGCACUACUUCACAUUCACUACAGCAAACACAUUGACCUUGACAGAGUUGUUGAUGUGUUUGCAAACAAACACUCGAGGAGGAUGGAGCUGGACUCACUUGUCUAUCCAGAGAUAUAAGAUGUUGGACAAAACUGUCUUAUGCAUUGUAAAAAAAAAAGGUUUUGCAAAACUACAUUUGUCUUGAGAAAUUUUAAUCUUACUCUAUAGUGUCAUUUUUUUAUGUGUAGAUGUGGAUUGUAUUGUAUUUUUCAAUUCAUUAAUUUCAUUCAUAAAAAACAAUGUCUAACAAAGCAAAGUAAAAAGAUGAGUUAUUUUUGCAAUUGAAGUAAUGUUAUUAUUUGCGGGCUUAGUUUGCAUUUAUGUUGUUAGAGUUAAGGAGUGGUACUGUGCCUUUAAGAGGAUGACGUCUUUCAUUCUUCUUCGGUGUUUUUUUUUUUUUUUUGUGUAUGUUCGGGCGGGACUCGGGAGUACCGAAGUGUUCGUUCGUGUCUGGGAUGAGUUCUGAA